ACAUAGCCCCUCGUAUACAUAAGGGGUGAAGCCUGCCCAAUGGAACAAUCUAAAUGGCCGCGGUAUCUUAACCGUGCAAAGGUAGCAUAAUCAUUUGUCUUUUAAAUAAAGACUUGUAUGAAUGGCACAACAUUUUCUAACUGUCUCCUCUCUUUUCCACUCAAACUUCUAUUAACGUGAAGAAGCGUUCAUUAAAAAGAAAGACGAGAAGACCCUGUCGAGCUUAAGCUCCUUUUAAAAUAAUAAAGCCUUUAAAGACUAUUCAAUUCUAACAGAAGCUUUGGUUGGGGCAACCAUGGAGAAAAAUUAACCUCCAAAAAUUAAAAAGAUAUUUAAUCCUUUUUAUAAUAAAGAACCAUAAAUAAUGAUAAAUAGAAACAGUUACCGCAGGGAUAACAGCGUCAUUUCCUUUAAGAGUUCAUAUUGACAAGGAAGAUUGCGACCUCGAUGUUGGAUUGGGGCUACCAAAGGGUGUAGCAGCUCUC
rnacentral:rRNA from 1 species